rnacentral:lncRNA from 1 species
UUACGACUUUAAGUUAAGAACUUAGUUUACCUAAACAAAAAAAAAAAAAGACACCUGAUCCAACAGUUUGUCGAGGCUCCUCCCUGUUAAAAGAACAAGCUCCAAAAAUACACAAACACAAAAAGCUCUUCUGAACCCCUCUGACAUCUCAGCUACAAAACCUCCGAGUGAUACAGUGACACUGAGGAUGGAAACAAAAGUGUUCAUCUGUGCUCUGUGUGUCUGUUUGUUGACAAUUCUAGGGAACGAGACAUCAUCCAAAGACACACCCAGGAUAAACGCAUUCACAUUUCUGAAUUACAUACCCUUACAGGUAAUUAUCUGCCUUCAAGAGUCUGAACACAAAAGCAAUAACACUUUUGUGUUCAAGACAAAGUAUUCAUAAAUGCAGUGUGAAAUGACAAAAGUAUGAACAUCCCCAAAAUAUUUUUUGGGUUAAUUCAUGAUGGAGACAUCGUAACUUUUAAUAAUAUAUAUGCUAGCAUACCAUAGCUACUGUUUAAGAGAAUAAACCUCAGUUAUUGCCUCAUUGAUAUCUACAGGAAGGUCCUGUUAAUGGAAGUGAUUCCGAGCAGGUAAGUGCCAUUUUUGCUUCAAACAGAGUAAUAUUGGAACCACAAGUUAAAACUAUAUCAUGCUGUCAGUUAUGUAUAUAUAUGUCCUGAUUCUUUUUCACCACAGAUGACAACAUACAUUAAAUGCAAAUACAACACAAGAAAGUAUUUUGGAAACAACCGUUGCACUGAACCUUGUAGAGGUACCCUUCAGUUCCUUCAUUUCUCAUGAAAAAUUUAAAUUAACUACUCAUAAAUCUAUACAGAAUAGAGUUUUAUUUAGGGUUUGUAGGGUUCUUAGGAAAAGUGGUAUAUGAAGUUUUUGAUUUAUUCACACUCCUGUUGUUCCCAAUCAUAUACUUUUAUUUUUUGCAUGGAACACAAAAGAAGGUAGCUUGAUGUCUAUAUUCACACAACCACAUACCUCUUCUGGAAAAACAUGAUGUGGGGGUAAAUAAAUGAUAACAAGGCUAACUAUUACUUUAGAUAUGACACGUGUGUUACAGCCAAAGCUGCUUGUGGUUUGUUGACUAACACACGAGGGCCCUCUUGUGUGCAGCUUUCAGUAAAAUAACAUGUAAACCAAUAACAUGCUCUCAGUCUGCUGUCUGUCACACAUUAGAUGGAGUUAUGAGGUCUUGAGUUUUUCUUCUCAGCUCAGUUAUUCUAACCUCAGUUAACCUAAGUGAGGUUUUAAGGCCAUUAUGUAUGUAUGUUUAUAUGUAUAAAUUUAACUUUCUUUUUUUCACCAGAAUGAUGGUAAACAAAAUGUCACAUAAGUCUCAGACACAACUCAAGGGUUACAAAACCCUGAAGACAAGGUAUGGUAAGUUUCAUGUGGUUUAAGUAAUAAAACAAACAAAACUGCAUUGUUUUUCUGAAUGUUAUUUGUGAUAAGUUGUUCAACCUUUUUUCUACUCAGAUUAAAGACAAAUAAAGACAAGAGAACUGGAAAACAGUCAACCCUGAUGAAAUGACAUGCUUUAAUAUCUGUUGAACAAAUUACCUUUGUAUUGUACAAUAUACAACGUCACAUGUAAAAGAUGUGCCUGAUUAAAUGUACAAAGAAAACUCAUGACCAUAAUGACUGUGCUAUGCUAGUCAGUGAAUGGUAAAACAUUGAGAGUAAGCUAUUAUUAUUAUAGUACAGUAUAUCAAAAGUAGAUAAUUGCAUUAGUAAAGUUAAAGGGUUAAAUAACAAUUUUAUUAGGCUAUGUAUGCUUAUCAAAAGUGUAAUUUUCAUUAUUUGAUGAUCAUGUCAAACUAAUUUAAUUAAACUAUUCACUGGGGAAGUUGUUCCUGGGUCACAAUUUAUAACUACUUUGAAAUCACAUCUCGAACUGUGAUAAUCCGCUGAUUAUAUGUUCUAAAUAACAUAAUAAAUAAUAAAAACAUGAAGUAGCCAACAAGCCUCCAAAACUACUAAUGUUAAAUGCCAAGAGAAUCUGAUUUAUAAUCUCUUGGGAAGAGGUUUAAACCCUAAGACUAGAUGUUGUGAAUGGACCAACCAAACCAAAAACCUAGUCUGUUGAUAAUUUAGGCCUAUUUCUUCUCAUGUUCAUGUGUUUGUAUUUCCUGUCAAAUUACUUCAUAUAUUGUCCAAAAGUAUAUUCCAUAUGUUAGUCAAAAAGGGAUUUGCACCUGUAUGGUCUGUAUGGUCGUGGUUAAGAUGGGAUAACCAGACCAAUCCAGCAGAUAUAUUUCAGGGAUUAUUUUAACAUGCCCCUAAUCUAAUUUGACCUGAGACAGAGGAGACUAACAGUUGCCUGACUAAUCCUUGUUUACAUUUUUAUAUAUUUAUUGUAUAUGUUU